AGAAUUUAAACAGGAAACGGGAAUGAAAAUUUGAAUUUUUCGAUAAACGGAAAAAAGUAACCGGUUCCAUAACUAAAAUAUUCGAGGCAUUUCAAGAUCUCAUCUGUCUACGGCGGUUCACAGUCCAAUAUCCAAUAAUUAAACAAACCGAAAUAAACAAAGAAGUAGCCGUAGAGAAAACAAAGAAAUAGGAAGUAAUCCGCUGUGUCUUUGUCCCUCAAUAACUUUGUCUGAGGGUUUUGCUGUUGUCUGCUGUCUUCUUUGCCAUCGGCGUUGGAGAACUUGCUGAUCAAACAACAUUAAAAUAAUAAAAAAAUAAAAAAAAAAACAAAAAACUUCAUCGUCAUCUUCAAAAUCCGCGUCAGCGUCAACCUAGCAACAAUGCCACUUGAAGAUCGUAACGAAGUUAUACCACAAGAACCUCCACCAGCACCAGCAACAGCAAUGCUAGCGGCUCAGAUACCAUUCACAAUGGACAACUUCUCGGAAAUACCAUACGAUGUGAUCAAUGCCAUCACCGAUUUCAAUACCUGCAUGUCCCAGAUUCUGGACAGUGUCCAUGUGCAUUCGCUGAUGCGAAUAUUUGAUAUAUGGCGGUAUUUAUUUUCCUGUUGAAAAAAAAAAAAACAAAA